UACGGGGGGGGCGAGCGUUGUUCGGAAUUACUGGGCGUAAAGGGCGCGUAGGCGGUCUGCUAAGUUGGAUGUGAAAACUCUGGGCUUAACCCAGAGCCUGCAUUCAAAACUGACAGGCUAGAGUUCUGGAGGGGGAAGCGGAAUUCCUGGUGUAGCGGUGAAAUGCGUAGAUAUCAGGAGGAACACCGGUGGCGAAGGCGGCUUCCUGGACAGAAACUGACGCUGAGGCGCGAAAGCUAGGGGAGCAAACAGGAUUAGAUACCCUGGUAGUCCUAGCCCUAAACGAUGGAUACUUGCUGUGACUGGGAUUGAAUCCAGUCGUGGCGAAGCUAACGCAUUAAGUAUCCCGCCUGGGGAGUACGGUCGCAAGGCUGAA
rnacentral:rRNA from 1 species